rnacentral:rRNA from 1 species
ACGCUAGCGAUAGGCUUAACACAUGCAAGUCGAGGGGCAUCACGAAUUAGCAAUAGUUUGGUGGCGACCGGCGCACGGGUGCGUAACACGUAUACAACCUACCUUCAAUUGGGGGAUAACCUGGAGAAAUUCGGACUAAUAUCCCAUAGUAAACGGAAGAGGCAUCUUUUUUGUUUUAAAGAUUUAUUGAUUGGAGAUGGGUAUGCGUAGGAUUAGCUAGUUGGUAAGGUAACGGCUUACCAAGGCGACGAUCCUUAGGGGUUCUGAGAGGAAGGUCCCCCACACUGGUACUGAGACACGGACCAGACUCCUACGGGAGGCAGCAGUGAGGAAUAUUGGUCAAUGGUCGAGAGACUGAACCAGCCAAGUCGCGUGAAGGAAGACGGCUCUAUGAGUUGUAAACUUCUUUUGUACAGGAGUAAAGUGAGACACGUGUGUUUUAUUGCAAGUACUGUACGAAUAAGCAUCGGCUAACUCCGUGUCAGCAGCCGCGGUAAUACGGAGGAUGCAAGCGUUAUCCGGAUUUAUUGGGUUUAAAGGGUGCGUAGGCGGUAUUACAAGUCAGGGGUGAAAUCUUGGUGCUUAACAUUAAAAUUGCCUUUGAAACUGUGGUACUUGAGUGUAAAAGAGGUAGGCGGAAUGUGUUGUGUAGCGGUGAAAUGCAUAGAUAUAACACAGAACCCCGAUUGCGAAGGCAGCUUACUAUCAUACAACUGACGCUGAUGCACGAAAGCGUGGGGAUCAAACAGGAUUAGAUACCCUGGUAGUCCACGCAGUAAACGAUGAUUACUAGCUGUUAGCGAUAUAGUGUUAGUGGCUAAGCGAAAGCGAUAAGUAAUCCACCUGGGGAGUACGUUCGCAAGAUGAAACUCAAAGGAUUUGACGGGGGCCCGCACAAGCGGAGGACAU